rnacentral:rRNA from 1 species
GAACGCUGGCGGCAGGCCUAACACAUGCAAGUCGAACGGUAACAGGAAGAAGCUUGCUCUUGCUGACGAGUGGCGGACGGGUGAGUAAUGUCUGGGAAACUGCCUGAUGGAGGGGGAUAACUACUGGAAACGGUAGCUAAUACCGCAUAACGUCGCAAGACCAAAGAGGGGGACCUUCGGGCCUCUUGCCAUCGGAUGUGCCCAGAUGGGAUUAGCUAGUAGGUGGGGUAACGGCUCACCUAGGCGACGAUCCCUAGCUGGUCUGAGAGGAUGACCAGCCACACUGGAACUGAGACACGGUCCAGACUCCUACGGGAGGCAGCAGUGGGGAAUAUUGCACAAUGGGCGCAAGCCUGAUGCAGCCAUGCCGCCGUGUAUGAAGAAGGCCUUCGGGUUGUAAAGUACUUUCAGCGGGGAGGAAGGGAGUAAAGUUAAUACCUUUGCUCAUUGACGUUACCCGCAGAAGAAGCACCGGCUAACUCCGUGCCAGCCGCCGC